rnacentral:rRNA from 1 species
CGCGUAGGCGGUUUUACAAGUCAGAUGUGAAAGCCCAUGGCUCAACCAUGGACGUGCAUUUGAAACUGUACGACUUGAGUAUUGGAGGGGGUGGUGGAAUUCCCGGUGUAGAGGUGAAAUUCGUAGAUAUCGGGAGGAAUACCAGUGGCGAAGGCGACCACCUGGCCAAAUACUGACGCUCAUGUGCGAAAGCGUGGGGAGCAAACA